rnacentral:lncRNA from 1 species
UCCUGGGAUUACAGGUGUGAGCCACUGCCCCUGGACCACAGGUCCUUGAAGUGUUUUCACAUAGAUAUUUCACAAGAGCCAUUUCAGAAUUGAGAACAUUUGGCGUGCACUCUUCCUCUUUUGGUCCCACAGUUUUUAUGUGUCCUACUUGAAAUUAUGUUUGCUCCCGUUUCAAUUGUAAUAUUGCACUUACUCAUUAGUUUUUAGUUUGAACUCUCCUGCGAGGUCUAAUGUAGAGUUUGGACAAGAACACAGAUUCAUAAUAAACCUACCCAGUCAAUUUGGUAUAAAGGCUUAGAAGGUGGAACUGGCCACAUUUUGAAUUGGAGGUAAGGAUCAGGAAUGCUAAUGGAGAGACAUAGGAUUUUCUUAUGGAAACAAGAAACAAAUAACCUCUGGGCAGUAUUAGAGCCCAGAGAGUGAUAAGCCUCUUCUAACUUCAAUAUUCUAUGUACAAAUUCACAAGACUUUUUUUUUCUUUCUUUUUUUUGAGACGGAGUCUCA